rnacentral:rRNA from 1 species
UAGCAAUACCUUGAUGGCGACCGGCGCACGGGUGAGUAACGCGUAUGCAACCUGCCCGAUACCGGGGUAUAGCCCAUGGAAACGUGGAUUAACACCCCAUAGUACUUUUAUCCUGCAUGGGAUGUGAGUUAAAUGUUCAAGGUAUCGGAUGGGCAUGCGUCCUAUUAGUUAGUUGGCGGGGUAACAGCCCACCAAGACGAUGAUAGGUAGGGGUUCUGAGAGGAAGGUCCCCCACAUUGGAACUGAGACACGGUCCAAACUCCUACGGGAGGCAGCAGUGAGGAAUAUUGGUCAAUGGACGUAAGUCUGAACCAGCCAAGUCGCGUGAGGGAAGACUGCCCUAUGGGUUGUAAACCUCUUUUAUAAGGGAAGAAUAAGUUCUACGUGUAGAAUGAUGCCUGUACCUUAUGAAUAAGCAUCGGCUAACUCCGUGCCAGCAGCCGCGGUAAUACGGAGGAUGCGAGCGUUAUCCGGAUUUAUUGGGUUUAAAGGGUGCGUAGGCGGUUUAUUAAGUUAGUGGUUAAAUAUUUGAGCUA